UUUUUAGAAUGACUUUGCUGUUGGUCUUAUCUUCCCAAGGCAGAUGGUUCUAUAUAUGUCCAUGGAAUUAGUACAUGUUGGCCUGCAGGCUUGUGCAUCUGACAAAUAGUUGCUAAAAUAAGUAUUUAAGACUAAUUUUAAACAUAGGGUCUAUCUAGCUAAAAACAGAUACUGUGCAAAUAAAUUUCUAUUUAGGGCAGGUGGAAGGAGGAAGUGAAAGAUUAUAGAGCACCAGCAUCUUGAAAUUGCCAAAGUGUCAGCAAACCAGUACUUCUUGAUCUUUUGCCUAUGUUGCUCUAGCAUACUGUGUUUGAGUCCUGAUUGCUGAUGACCAAAGGAUGAUUGUUCUUUGCUAAUUACCCUUACUGAAGUAACAGCUGGGGUAAGUGAUGUGGUGAUAGAUCUAAGUCAGAAGGAGCUGUAGCCAUGCAGGUGAAUUUCUGUAGAGAGAUUAGAGAGCCUGUAAAAGGCCAAAAUCAAGAAAGGUGAGUUGCUUCUUGAAGCACUGCCUCAGGGGGAAGAAUACUUGAAAUAUAUACAGAUAAUGAAGGGGAAAAGCUCAAGAAAUGGUAACAUUAAAGAAGACCUAGGACCAAUAGCAGGAGCAAGUUAGUUGCUAAGUUACGAGGCAAUUUUGGACAGCAGCUAUGUAGGCAAGGAUGGUUUAACAGGUCUGUACCAAAGUUCCCAUGUUCAGAGGUUAUAUGGAAGCAUUAUCUCAGCAUCAAAUCAUCACACAGAGUGCAGGAAUUCGGUUGCUGGGAGAGGUACCUGCACUGCCAGGGAAAAGACUGCCUUGCUUUCUACUCUACACAGGGCUGGGGGAGCUGGCCAGUGCCAGCCUUUAUGCCUUGCUCAGUCCCACACUCAGAUGAGUCCCUCAAAUUCCAGCUCCUACUGGGAUAAUUAUACAGGAAAAUCCAGCUUUUGGGAGCAGGAAGGUAGUUUCUGACGGCUUCUCCUAUCACGUUCUACCACGUCUGCAAGCACUUCAACCUUCGGCCCUCUCCGAAGAGAUCCCAGCCUGCCUGAGGAUAAGAAACAAUGGCCCUUGGCAUAAUCUUUUCUGCAGUGGGGAUUAAAUAGGGCCAUUGAAUGACAAAAAGAGACUACUCUCCUGCUGGGAUCCCAUGGGCUGAAGGACUUGUCGCAGAAUGGAUUCUAGCAUUUCCAAAGACAAAGGAUGGUGAAUUCAGUAAUGAGUCCCUAGAUAGCCAGCAUAAUAGAUUCACUCGAUUUAAACCUUGUCCCAGGGGACCUGUAGUGAGCUGCUUUUUUUUUUAUUUGUGGUCUUUGCCACCACAGAGCUCAGAUCAAUGGAAAUGCUCAUCAAAUAUGGAACUGGCACUUGUGAUGGAGAUUGACAAAUAUGGCUAAGUACAGCUGUGUGUUACAGAAAACUUAGUUUUCUAAGACUUAGUUCCUUGAACUGAUGCUGUGGUCUGAUAUAGGCUGUUGCCAGAAUCUUUAUUUAAUUCCUUUUGGUAUGUGAUAAAUUUUAGUUGCCUAGACAGACUUAUGAAGCCACAUCUGAUCUGUACGACAAUUACAAUUCUUUGAGCUCUUUCCCUAAUACAUCCAAUUUCAUUUACUGAGGAUUGCUACCUCCACUCAUUCUGUGAGCUGUUCAAAUAAUACAAAGGAAAGAAUACUUGGAAAUGUAAAAGGAAAAUUGCACAAAAGUAUAGUUUUAUCAAGAGUAGAUUGUACCAGACUAAUGUGGCAGAUUUCUUUGGUAAUAACCAUAUAACAGACUUUCUAGGCAAAAGAAGCUCUAUGGAUGUAACAGAUCUUGACUACAGGUUCCACAUAACCUAACUUGAAGGAGACAUGAAGAUAAUGCUGUUAAGAAGUUACCUGAUGAUGGCAAGACAAAGAGUUCUGUUCACUGCUGUUCAAGAAAGGCCAGUUCAAACUGUCCUCAGCAGAUGAACAAGCCCAGAGAGAGGCUUUAGCCUGGGUGCUCUCUGCCUCACCACACCUUGAUGGAUCCUCUCUCCUGCUCCCAGAAGGGAGUCCAAAGAUGAAAAAGGCUCCAACUGCUGGUCACCAUCCAGCUCUCGGAUGUUGCAACUCUGCCUUGCAAGCCUCUGUGUUCUCAUCCUUUGUUCCCAAGCCCCGCUCCUGCUGGCAACACCAUGUUUUGCCUCUGGCAAAAUGACACACAUCUGCUGCUCCUCAAGGGCUGUCUGUCAUCCUGCCCUCCUCCACCAAUACAAGACUUGCCUUAAUCGGGAUUUUCAGGUGUGAUAGAAGAAGAAAUUAAGUUAUUUGGGAGGUUCAAGCUGUCAGCCUACAUGUUCUCAGUUAUUUACUUAUUUUUUUACUUUUCCUCAGGAGAAAUAGAUAAGGUCCUUUAAAGCAGGUUCUUAGUUGGCAGCUUGGUGAAGGAGCAGUGGGAAUGUGUAUUAAAGAAGCUGGAAUAAACAACAAAACCAAAACAUAAGGUCACAAUUCAAGCAAAUAUGCCGGAGGGAACACUAAGAACAGACGAUGUUUAUUGCUCAAUAUAAUCUAAAGUCCAGACAGUGUGAGAAUGCAGUCCAAUGGAGCACUCCUGAAGCUCGGAAUAGAGAGGUGCAUAGAGAGCAGGCCACAGAGGAGGCAGCAUGUUUUUCUUUGAAAAGGGUCAAUAAUGAUUGUGCAGUAGGCUGGAAAUACUUAGUCACAUAAAAGGUGUCAGUGCUAGCAGCAGAAUAGAAGCUUUCACACAUUUCUUUAUUAAAAAAAAUGAAUCAGACAUUAAGUGUUAAUGUGAGACAGCAGGUCAGUCACCAUUUCUUAUACAAACUAUUGCAGCUGAAAAUGACUGUGGGAAAACUUCCUAAUUAGCCCUGUUGGGGUUUUUUGUUUUUUAAGAGAAAAGCAACUGAACUUCUGAAUCUAGUUUCCUGUGGAAACAGCUUACACAAUCAGUGUUUGUCCUGUACCUAAUACUUUUUGUAACCCUCUGGCAAAUCAGGUUUUGACUAAAGUUGAAAGAGUGAUAGUGUUGGACAUGAUUAUAUUUUUUUAAACAUUUCAUGAAGUCUGGCAGCAGGAUAAGGGAUGGAGUCAAGUUACUGCCCUGACUGAAGAAAAGGCUCUCAGCCAUUAUGUGUUGGUCCCAGCCAGCUGGCAAGGCAGCACACACGUGCCGACAGUGAGUAUAUUUGUAGCCCCAGUUUGUUGUCUCUAGGUAGUGGCAGGGUGAUCGGAGGCAUGAGGAGAGGUGGGAUUGUUGUGGUGAAGAGAAAGAGAUGUGGGACAAAGGACUCAAAUCCGUAGGAAAUCAGGGUUCGUUAGUUGUGCUGCUCAGGAGCAACAUGUUUAUCUAACAAUAGCUUUCUGCCCAAGCACAUACGUCAGAGCCAGAUUAGAUUUCUAUUUGCAUACCUCCUUACCUUUCUCAGGAAUGCCUCUGGCAUAAAAGUCCUUAAUUUCUCUUUCUCCCUUAAGGCAUGGGUCUCCUGGAAAGUAACUGUAAAAUUUGCAUCUUAUUUCUUAAUAGAUUUAUUACUUUGUUUACUUUAAGUCAGAUGAACUGGGUUUAAUAACCACAUCAAAUGUUUACUGCUUUUUUUUUUAAUCCUCUUGGCUCUUCAGAAAUAACAUAACAGAGAGAGAGCAAAUGAGCUGGAUGCAAUUACAUUUUGUGAACACACACUGAGAGCAGAACCUGAAGACAGCACUGUUGUGCAAUGUAAACAAGGCACAAACUUAUCCUGCUGAACCCUAGUUGCUAGUGAUCUGAGAGGGAAAGAAUCCAAUGGAUUUCUGAAGCAUAGGGAUGAGCUUGUAGUACUGACAGGAAGAACAGGAUUAUUUUGUUUUCUUUAGAACAGAACACGUUUUAUACUUACUUGUUGAAAUAAUAAGGAUGGAAAAAAACAAGCCACAUGAAAACUUUUAGCAGCCACAGUACAAAAGAAUCCUGUAGUAUCCAAUCUGCAGGAGGACAGAACUGGAGCUGUGUUCUUUCUGUCUUACGUAGUCCAAGGUCUGCAUUAUGCUCAUUAUAAUGAUAUCAGUGUUUCUAAAUUAAAGUGGCGAUGUCUAGAUUCCACAGGGAUGUGUGUCACAGAAAUGCAUGUGCUAGUAAUUAAAACAGAGCGUUCAAAUAUUGCUUCAUAUUCAGACAAGAACCUUUUUAUGCAGUUGUGUAAUAAAAAAAGGGAAGCUAGAGCCAAACUGAGGGCAGCAAUAAUACACUGCACAGCCGCUGAGACAACGUGAGACCUUGUGCACUAUUGCUGCCACCAGCCACACUGAAGAAAAGUCUUUUCAAAUACUAGGUAGCAUUUCAGAAAGAUUUUAUGAAAGUCCAUUCAAACUCCAGCCCUAUGUUCCCACUGCUAAGUAACCACUUAGAAAACUCACUCCAAAGAAUAUCUUGUCACCUAGAAAGUAAAUGAGAUAUAGCUACAAUGAAACAGACACUACUUUAGUAGAUCCCACCACUAGGCUACUCUGCAUGCAGCCAUCAGUAUUGUGCCUUUUCAGGGGCAAGAAUUUGCUGCUACAGGGGGGGGGAAAAAAGGCACAAAGAGGCAAUUGGGCUGUGCUGCACUUCAUGGGGUAGGGGAUAGUCCUUCCUUAUCCCCCCAUUGUCGGUUUAUGAAAAGAAAUACAGAGCAAUUACCCUAAUCACAGUCUUAGCAAAUGUGAUUAAUGAUCAAACAGUUUUCCAACGUUUUGGAAAAUCCUGUCUUAGUGUUAUUUGCCUUGAUUUCCUCCCACAGCAAUAAGCUGUGUAAGUUGACAAAAUGCAAAUUCAAAAAGCACUACCUUUUUUGUCCCAGGGGUGCUAUAGCUUCAUUAUACCAAACCUACUCUUUAGUAGCUGACCUAAUUUCUUCUGUUGUUAUAAUUUUAGAAGGAAGUUUUUACAGGCUCUUUGUACAUGAUACAGAUUAGUACUCAAAGGUAUCUUGGCCAAAAAAAGAGGAUGAAAAGUAGUCUUUUGUUCCCAGUACAUUGUUGGUUUAAUUUAGUCAGGUGUGUCCUGUGGAGGAACGGAGGAGUCACAUUUAAGGCUUGCUGAUUUUGCUCCCGACUUGUCUUUAUGUGUUCUGAGGCUAAAAUAAAGCUUGUGUUGCACAUGUAAUGUGGCUAAAGAAUUAUCUCCCCUCAUCAGCUAAACUACCAAGGAGUUUUACGCUGAGUCAAACCUAAUGAAUUGGCACUUCACAAUCUAGCAGCUCAGAUCUGCUUUCAAAACAAGCACCUUUAAAUGUGUCAUUAAAAGGCUAAAAUACACCCACUGGGCAAGGCCUCUAUCCCAAUAAUAUGGCUGCAUGAGUCUUAGGCUGAGUCAAGGGGAUCCUACAAUAAGCAACACUUUGCUCAGAGCAGUAGUGAAGGGGAUGGCAUUUGUCUCAUACAAUUUUUGCAGUAACUUGCUAUAGUCUGCUAAUGUUUAUUCAGUCACACCUGGUCAAACAGGUUUACAUUGUCCCCUUCCCUUCC